UUCAACAUUUAACAAAAAAAAAACUCAGCCACCAUUCCUCCUUAGCAAAUCUGAGACCUCACCUACCUUCAUUCGUUUCAUCCUUUCCAAUCCGCAUCGUAUCGGUGGAUUUAUCGCAACUACAAUCAGACGACUUCAUUAUUGUUAAUCCUUACGUGUUUCAUAUCAAAUUGGCUUUGUUUAUCUUGUCAUUCGAACCUCAUCCCAUCUCUGAAUCAUCAAGCUUGUUGUUCUCCAAACGACCCGUCGACUGUUCGUACUUCAGAGGCGAACCAGAGUUAGAUUGCUUGUCAGGAUCACGUGGAUUUAGCAAGCAGUGAGUUUAUAUCUCUAUUUACCUCUUUAUUAAGCAACUAUUAUAUUUUGUAUGUAUAUAUAUGUAUAAACAGCUUUCGAACUGUUUUCCCGCAUUGUGGAUUUGAUUUGGAACGUGCUACUCGAUGGGCAUCAUCGGGACUGCGUGCGCACCGGUAAUGAUUAUGGUAUUGAGGUAGGUUUGAGAUACGUCUCACCUUAGUGAGGGCACCGGUGGAAGAUACGUCUCCUGGGCUCACUAUUUAUUAAGUGAUAGUCGGGGAUCGGUUAUUGAGAUACGUCUCACCGAUACGACAAUGGAUUUAGAAUUGUGGUUUAGGGUUUCAUUGAAAAUCCAUAAUGAAAAUGUUUUAUUAAACGUUUUAAAGGUUUUUAACUUAAUAAAUGUAAAUGGUUAUAUAAACUCUACUCAGUAAAUCUGACCCCGUUGUUUUCCCAAAUUUUCCAGGUUUAUGAUUUGAGCGUUUGGUCGAUCUCCGUUUCUUCAUUCUCGGAGGUUUUUAUUUUAUUUUCAGAAUAAAAGAGUCGAACUAUUUUAAACUCUUAGACCGCAGUAGUAGUUUCAUAUUAUUCUUGUCUUAGUCUUACGUUUAUAGUUUUGACUAUUGUUUGUUGGAUUGGUCCAACUAUUACUUUAUCGCUUUGGCAUGAUUACAGUGUUUAUGGUAUUUAUAUUAUAUUGCCAUACUGUUGGAGAUUAUUCUGAGAUAAGCGUACGUUAAAUAUAUAUAUUGCUCUAUGUACUUCUAGAUUAGGCCGAAGUCUCGGUUGCCCCCGAGCAUGUGGUUUUAUGCAGGUACAUUAUUUUAAAUGUUAUAAAUUGGUUAUCCGCAAGGCUAGCUACGGGUUUUGGUACAACCAUAC